GCACCUGCGCAGGGCGCCGAGCGUCAGAAGCCAGAACACAGACGCCCACGCGCAGCGGACCCAGUCCCGUUCGGUAUCCCUUUAUGAGUUGUAAAGUUUAUGGGUAUUUAUUUAGUGCUGAAUAUUUCCUUAAAUGACUAUGUAGGGCAUAUUGCUAAAUAUUAUAAUCAUUUAUAUAUGUAUGUAUAGUAUUUACAAAGCAUUUGAUAAGAAUAUCGGCUGCAGUAUAUAAACAAUUUCUUUAGCAUUUUUCUCUUUGGCUUCCAGAUUUGUUGCACACACAAAGGAUCAUGUUUCCUUCAUGCCCCUGCAGGUCUUGGAUGCGGCCGAUGGAUCGGCUCUUACGUGAUCGAGGGAAAUUACAACACCGUAGCUCUUAAUAAACGGUUUGGGGUUUCACGACAUUUGGAUUGCGGUGGCAGAAAUCCAGACUGACCCGAUUGGGCCCGGGGCCUAGGAGGAAACUGAAAUGGUUCAGAUUUUUUGCUCAUACAAGGUCAGUGCCAGAGUAAAGCCGUCCAGCACCGCGGAGCUGCACCGCGGGGCCCGGUGUGUGGAAGCACUCUGUGUAAUGAGAAACAGGCCCUCGCCUGUACUAUUAUGGCCUGCUUUUUCACCCUGUUGGAUCGGCCCCGGCAGUGUUUGCCACGUGUCCUUUACCCAUCCAUCCAGCAGGGGGUGCAAGUUUUAAGGCCCCAGUGUGGACCAAAUGUGAUGCUCAAAGGACAUGAAAUGGCACAAAAACAAACAUACUGUCUAAACUUCACUGCCGCGUUUCUCCGCUGUAAAAAAAAAAUGUCAUUCUGAUUGGGGACAGUGUCACAUUCUCCAGAUGUCAUGUUAAACUGUGAAGCAAACUGCCUGUUAACUAGCCUAAAUGUUUCUUACAUUAAACUUUAUUACAGCAAUCUUGUAAA